GCAAGCGUUAUCCGGAUUCACUGGGUUUAAAGGGUGCGUAGGUGGGCAUGUAAGUCAGUGGUGAAAUCUCCGGGCUUAACCCGGAAACUGCCAUUGAUACUAUAUGUCUUGAAUACCAUGGAGGUGAGCGGAAUAUGUCAUGUAGCGGUGAAAUGCUUAGAUAUGACAUAGAACACCAAUUGCGAAGGCAGCUCACUACGCGGUUAUUGACACUGAGGCACGAAAGCGUGGGGAUCAAACAGG
rnacentral:rRNA from 1 species